rnacentral:lncRNA from 1 species
GUGGGACUGAGGCUCGAGAGACAGCUUGGAGCUCCCUAUAGACUUCAGUGUGGUCCGCAUUAGGAAGUUAAAGCACUGAGAUGGGACGAGGCUGUCAAGGGAGAAAACGUGCAGAGGAAAGUUGAGAACCAUGUAUAGAAAUGGAAGACUAAGAGUGAGCAGGCAAAGGGAAGAAGAGGAGCCCGAGGUAGAAGGCAUCUACAGUGCAGAAAGCAGAGAAAUGUCAAGGAACCAAUCUGGGUAACAUCAGCAGCACUGGUAGAAUUAUACCUAGAACGAGCACAGAAAUAUAGAGGGAAAUUUGUGCUGCGGUUUCCAUGCUUCAAAUAUGCCAAGCUGUGAUGUGGCAAAUAUAAUCAUUAACGCUGCUUGAAACCCACAGGGAUCACUCCCGCAUAGCUAAAGCCUCAGUGUUGCUUUCGGCUUGAACUCACAACC